CUCAGUUGUCACCUUACAGUGACUGAUCAACCUCCUCAGGCUGCAUCCUCAAAAUGAAGAUGCCUCUUAGGUUGUUGGUGCUGCUGCUGUUCAGGAUUCCAGCUUCCAGUGGUGAUGCUGUUCUGACCCAAACUCCACUCUCCCUGUCUGUCAGUCUUGGAGAUCAAGCCUCAAUCUCUUGCAAGUCUAGUCAGAGCAUUGUACACAGUAAUGGGAAUACCUAUUUGGAAUGGUACCUGCAGAAGCCAGGCCAGUCUCCACAGCUCCUGAUCUACUUGGUUUCCAAGAGGUUUUCUGGGGUCCCAGACAGGUUCAGCGGCAGUGGGUCAGUCACAGACUUCACAUUGAAGAUUAGCUGGGUGGAACCUGAGGAUAUAGGAGUUUAUUACUGCUUCCACCAUUCAUAUCAUCCUGUCACAGUAAUGCAGACCUUAUCAAAAACAUCUUUCUUAGGGUGGUCCAGCAGUCAAGUGUCUUCCUUCUUUGUGUGA